UACGUAGGGCGCAAGCGUUGUCCGGAAUUAUUGGGCGUAAAGAGCUCGUAGGCGGCUUGUCACGUCGGAUGUGAAAGCCCGAGGCUUAACCUCGGGUCUGCAUUCGAUACGGGCUAGCUAGAGUGUGGUAGGGGAGAUCGGAAUUCCUGGUGUAGCGGUGAAAUGCGCAGAUAUCAGGAGGAACACCGGUGGCGAAGGCGGUUCUCUGGGCAUGACCUGACGCUGAGGAGCGAAAGUGUGGGGAGCGAACAGG
rnacentral:rRNA from 1 species